rnacentral:rRNA from 1 species
UACAGAGGGUGGAAGCGUUGUUCGGAAUUAUUGGGCGUAAAGGGCGCGUAGGCGGCCACUGCAAGUCGGUUGUGAAAUCUCCGGGCUUAACCCGGAAAGGUCAACCGAUACUGCAGGGCUAGAGUGCAGAAGGGGCAACUGGAAUUCUCGGUGUAGCGGCGAAAUGCGUAGAUAUCGAGAGGAACACCUGCGGCGAAGGCGGGUUGCUGGGCUGACACUGACGCUGAUGCGCGAAAGCUAGGGGAGCGAACGGG